GUGUAAGUACCCACGGCCACUACAGUGAAACUGCAAAUGGAUCAUUAAAUCAGUUAUGGUUCCUUUGAUCGCUCCAUCUGUUACUUGGAUAACUGUGGUAAUUCUAGAGCUAAUACAUGCCGACGAGCGCUGACCCCCAGGGAUGCAUGCAUUUAUCAGACCAAAACCCAUCUGGGUCAGGGCUAGGGGCUCGCCCCCCUUCCCUCCCGGCCGCAGGUUUUUUUCACGGGUCUCUCUGUUAUGGAGCACCUUAUCACUAUGCACGCACUUUUUUCACUUUAUUUAUUUUAAGAUUUUUUUUUUUUUUUUUUGUCUUUUAGUUCUUAGACAGCGAUUGAGAACAUGAGGGAAUUGCCCUAGAU